rnacentral:sRNA from 1 species
AUUUUAAACUAUUUUUUAAUAGAUAAAUUAGCAACAUCUUUAAAACAAUCUCGCCAAGAGGUUGAUACGUUGACUGUAAACCGAGAUACUUUAACCAGUUCUUUAAGAGACGCUCACAGUGUCAUCUCAGCAGUAACCCUGGAAAAAGAUCAAUUUGUUUCAUAUCUGGACAGUUGCCGAAGAGAUAUUCAAAAUUUGCAAUCAGACAAAGUUCAAUUAAGCACAGACCUUCUGGAUCGUGAGGUUCAACUUGAGACCAUGACAAAA